AGUGAACGCUGGCGGUAGGCCUAACACAUGCAAGUCGAACGGCAGCACAGGAGAGCUUGCUCUCUGGGUGGCGAGUGGCGGACGGGUGAGGAAUACAUCGGAAUCUACUUUUUCGUGGGGGAUAACGUAGGGAAACUUACGCUAAUACCGCAUACGACCUACGGGUGAAAGCAGGGGAUCUUCGGACCUUGCGCGAUUGAAUGAGCCGAUGUCGGAUUAGCUAGUUGGCGGGGUAAAGGCCCACCAAGGCGACGAUCCGUAGCUGGUCUGAGAGGAUGAUCAGCCACACUGGAACUGAGACACGGUCCAGACUCCUACGGGGGGAAGCAGUGGGGAAUAUUGGACAAUGGCGCAAGCCUGAUCCAGCCAUACCGCGUGGGUGAAGAAGGCCUUCGGGUUGUAAAGCCCUUUUGUUGGGAAAGAAAUCCAGCUGGUUAAUACCCGGUUGGGAUGACGGUACCCAAAGAAUAAGCACCGGCUAACUUCGUGCCAGCCGCCGCCGUAA
rnacentral:rRNA from 1 species